rnacentral:rRNA from 1 species
UACGUAGGGUGCGAGCGUUAAUCGGAAUUACUGGGCGUAAAGCGUGCGCAGGCGGUUAUACAAGACAGGCGUGAAAUCCCCGGGCUUAACCUGGGAAUGGCGCCUGUGACUGUAUAGCUAGAGUGUGUCAGAGGGGGGUAGAAUUCCACGUGUAGCAGUGAAAUGCGUAGAUAUGUGGAGGAAUACCAAUGGCGAAGGCAGCCCCCUGGGAUAACACUGACGCUCAUGCACGAAAGCGUGGGGAGCAAAC